AUCCUUUUGUAGUUCAUAAGUUUGAUGAUUGGGUUUUCAUGCGCAUGUGUGAGAUGUGCCUCCUAUGAAUCUUGCUACAAUGGCACAUUACCCAUCUGACA